ACAUCUGAAUCUUUCCUACUCCUUGCGAUAUAGUGCUGACUGGAGACAUGCGAUGCCACAGGAAAGCAGAGGAAAUCCAGACAAGCUCCCUUUCACUCACCACAGUGGGACUUGUCUCUACGCCUUUGCAACAUUU
rnacentral:snoRNA from 1 species